AACACCUUGUUAUUUCCUAAAAUAAAAAACUUCAAACCGCGCUCCCAAAAUUGAUUCUGAAUGGAAUUCUGAAACGCUCCCUCAUCUCAUCGUCUCCGAUCGAAUGCCCGUCACGGACCACCGCGGGCCACCACAUCGAAAAUCACUUUCGGCGGUGGUGGCCACCAGAAAUACAAACCAGACACUCAAUUGGAAUCAUCUUUACCUCCCCAAUUCGAAUAUGUAUUCAAUUUCAAACAAAACUGGACCCAUCAUCACAAAUCGGAUUAAAGAGCUAAAGAACCCCAGGGGUUCAAAUACGAAUUACAUGGUGAGGUUUAGGAUCCAGAGCCCUAACUGUUAGGGCUUUGAGGCGCCCUGAGGUAAGCUACAAAAUGAUAACAACAAUGCUACAAAAUGGUGAGGAUGGACCUACCUCCGAAGCCAGGGGUUGCUCUAGCGAAGCAUUGACUCGGAGAAGAUGAAGUAAGCAACAAAAAAUCACUUGAUUAACAGGCUUGUUGGUUGGGAAAUGAUGACCAUGAUGUAGGGUUGUGCUUCUGUAGCAUCAGGAUGUGUUGAAUGCAGCAAUGUAUGGAAUGUUCAGGUCCUGAUGCAGGUCAGGUAUGUGUAGAAUAAUAGGAAUUGGUUUGGCUGUAUAUUGCUUAAAGUAUCAUGGCUUAGUGGUGGUGGAAAGUUAAGGUCUUGUGGUUUUGGUUGCUAAGCUUGCAUUGUUACAUGGUAUGCAUCCUUAUGUCAUUUGCAAUUUUGUGAAUCAUGAAUGUAUUGCUUAUUGGCUUAAAUGACAUGAUGAACUUGGUAUGGUUUUAUAGGUAUGGACAUGGUUGCAAAGCAAUCUUCAAGGCAUGGCAAAUUUCACAAAAAAAAGGUUUCUUAUUCAUGAAGUCAAUGAUCAUGGAAUAUCAUGGAAUGCAAGGAUAAUGAAGAUGUAAUGAGUUUUAGAGGAUGAAAAACAUGUUACUUGACUUUGGUCAAGUGGUUGACCAAAAAGUCAACAUUUGACCAAAAGUCAACUUUCACAAAACUUGUAUUUUUUGUGUUUUCUUUUGUAACUGAUGUAAAUGCCAACUGUAUGAAUGA